rnacentral:tRNA from 1 species
GGGGUUGUGGCUCAGUGGUAGAGCACUUGCCUUGCAUGAGCAAGGCACUGGGUUCAAUCCUCAGCACCA